AACUUUCAGCAACGGAUCUCUUGGCUCUUGCAACGAUGAAGAACGCAGUGAAAUGCGAAAAGUAAUGCGAUUUGCAUGAAUCUGUGAGUCAUCAAGUCUUUGAACGCACCUUGCACCGUAUGAGCAAUCGUACGGUAUACCUGUUUGAGAAUCGUAAAAAUCUCUUUCCAUCCUUGGAUGGGAGACUUGUCGGUUGUGCCCUCAGGUACUCUGAUCAAAAGUAGUAGGUCGAGAUCAGGCUAGUGGCCUGGGACACUGUGUGCUAGAGACGUCGCGAAAGCUACUGUCUCCUCAUGGUGCGUCCUAGGCUAUUCAAGCUGGCCUGGUCGGGCCUCCACAGUCGGUACACUUGUGUACUGACAACCCCCCUUUUGAUCUCAAAUCAGGUAAGGCUACCCGCUGAACUUAAGCAUAUCAAUAAGCGGAGGCU
rnacentral:misc_RNA from 1 species